AUCUUAAUGAACAAUUUCACUAGUAUCAACCUACCACUGAAGAUGACCCUUACUCAGCAGGAACGAACCUUUCAACUGACAAAACAAAAUGUGAACCCUUUGUAAACCUUUUUAGGCAGCUGUGAAUAAAUCCAGGAACGAGCCUCAUGAUAUUGAAACGAAGAUCACGAGAAAAGACACAGACCUCCGCCACUGUGAGAUAUUGCUGUAACCAAACAUUUUAAGCUAUCUUAAUGAAC